GUGAUCAGCAGCUGGCGCGGAAGCUUCAGGUGGACAGUGAUCGUUGCGGAAGAUGUCGGACAGCGAAGACAGCAACUUCUCGGAGGAGGAGGACAGCGAGCGCAGCAGCGAGGCGGAGGAGGCCGAGGUAUGCCCAGUUGUUCCAGAAGUGUAUACGUAUUGCCUACUCUGUGCCAGCCACAAUUGUUUGUCCUUGGGCUCCUGUUAACAGAUUUUAAAAUGUAAAUCGACAACUGAUAAGUGAACAUGAAUUUGCUAAUGUGAAUACAUAUAGCCAAUUAAUAUAAGACUCCUAGGUUCAGCAUUACUAAUCUGAAAAUCCAAAUUAUUUUGUAACUUUGAGUCUUGUAUUGAUGCCCCCGAAUGGAAAAUUCCACAUGUGACAGGUCAAAGUCAAGACACUGUGCACUAAAAAUACUGUAUUAGAUUACUGUACACAUAUAUGAAUUUCACAUAUAUGAAUUUCAUGUAUUGUCCCAUCCUAAGGUAUCUUAUUGUGUAUGUGCAAAUAAUCCAAAAAUCCUCCAAGAUCUG
rnacentral:lncRNA from 1 species